ACGCUCGACACCUACGGAGGCAGCAGUGAGGAAUAUUGGUCAAUGGGCGCUAGCCUGAACCAGCCAAGUAGCGUGAAGGAUGAAGGCUCUAUGGGUCGUAAACUUCUUUUAUAUAAGAAUAAAGUGCAGUAUGUAUACUGUUUUGUAUGUAUUAUAUGAAUAAGGAUCGGCUAACUCCGUGCCAGCAGCCACGGUAAUCUGAGCGGGCUGGCAAGGC
rnacentral:rRNA from 1 species